rnacentral:rRNA from 1 species
CAUGCAAGUCGAACGAGAAAGUGGAGCAAUCCAUGAGUACAGUGGCGACCGGGUGAGUAACACGUGACUAACCUGCCCUCGAGUGGGGAAUAACUCCGGGAAACCGGAGCUAAUACCGCAUAACAUCGCAAGAUCAAAGCAGCAAUGCGCUUGAGGAGGGGGUCGCGGCUGAUUAGCUAGUUGGUAGGGUAAUGGCCUACCAAGGCAAAGAUCGGUAUCCGGCCUGAAAGGGCGCACGGACACACUGGAACUGAAACACGGUCCAGACUCCUACGGGAGGCAGCAGUGGGGAAUUUUGCGCAAUGGGGGAA